UCAAACAAAUAGAACAUCCAAGAAGCUCCUUACUUCUCCAUUUCCUACGGGUAAACACCAAGUCUGAAAUUUCAGCUUACUUUACUCUCUUUUUCUCUUAAGGAAAGUGCUAGGAAGCUCCCUUGAGUCUUCCUCUCAAGUCCACCGGUUCACACACCAAAAGAAAGACAAAAACCCACCCAAAAGUGUUCCCCUUAUCCCAUUUUCUUGGCUGCCCCAGACAGAAAGUCCAGCAGCAAGAAGGAAGCUCUUUUCAAUUCUCUCAAGCUCUCUACCUCUCAUACCUUCUGGUCCAGCCACUAGGAAAGGAAAAUCCUUUCAUGUGUUACCAGUAUCUAAGUCUAAGCUCCUUCAACUUUAGGCUCUCAGUUCCUCUGCUUUCAGUUAGCAAGUUUUAUUUUGGAACAGAUGGAGCCUUAGUCGAGUUUGGAAGAAGCUGGUGUUAGUUUUAUAUGUAUAGAUCCUAAAUUAGCAUUCUGACGUUUAGCUUUAUAGUUAUUGUGUAUUUUAGGAUCAAAUGAAAGUUGUGUAUACCUUAAAGUAUCAAGCGAUGUAUUAUGUAAAAGUGUGGAAAUUAAAUGAUUGGUGGAUUAUGUUA